GUUCAUUUUACUCAAACAUAUAACUAUAAAAAGUAAAAUCAUAGAAACUGAUCAUUUGAAGUGGUCUCUUCAUUUUUACCAGAGCUGUAUAUAUUUCCCUCAGCUUUCAACACCAUGAAAAAACACACAUUUGUACUGUGCUUCAGUUAAACUCCCUACAAACCUGUACUGCUUUACUGUUACAUGACCAAAGAGCCACACAUCCACAUCCAGAAACACAAAUGGCAACAAGAUGGAAAUAAACGUCAGUUUUAAUAUCGGCCCAGUUUCACAUAUCGAACAGAUACUGAUGUGUGAAAAAAAUUACUAACAUCGACUAAUAGAGCGUUGGAACGUGACGUCACUGCUCUAGACGUGGGGAUAUGAGCGCCAUCUUCAGGGGCCAUAAACAUAACCGACAAAAAACGACUGUCUCAAAGAUAUUUUUAAUCUAAGUUACUUAAAAUGAUUUAUCAAUGGUUCGAACUUGCUGCGUUAUUGGAUGUAAUGUCUAGUGACAACCGAAACGGUAAAAAGAUGGAAAACGGACUUUCGUUUCACUGUUUUCCUGCCUGUAAACAACGUGAGGGGGCUAAGUUAUCUGAGCUAACGAAAAGGAGACGAAUAUCCUGGGUAUCAGCGGUGAGACGUCCUGAUAUUACGUUCUCCAACAUCCCAAGAUAUCUACAAGUUUGCUCCAGACAUGUCCAUUCUGGCAAACCGACCUUUGAAAUGGUAAGGCGAGGUAAACGCCACAACAUCGGACCGACAUGCACGUAAAUUAAAGAGGUGAUACAGCAAAACUACGGUGGAUCAACAAGUUACAGAGACUGUGUUUUCAUUAUUUACCCCAGAAGAGGUAAAUAAUGAAAACACAGCAGCGGAGGCUGUAGAAGAGGAGCAAGUUGGAGAGGCUGAGGAGGAAACCCCAGGAGAGAAGCUCAGCAAGGCUGCACCCUCUGAAGAGGAACAUGAACCAUUGGCGUUGAAAUAUGUGUUCAGUUGGAAGUGUCUGUUUUCUGUCAUUUAAUCAUUUAAUGUGGUAAAACAUUCAUGAAACGUUUGAUUCAAGCUCUUCAAGUUGCAUGUAAACAGUUGAUGAAAUGAAUCACAUUUUAAGUAAAAAAUUGAUAUUUAAAAUAUUUCAGGUAAUAAAUAUGCAUGUAAUGAAAGAUUAUAUUUUUAAAUAAACAUUUUAUGUGAUUAAAGUAAACAAUUACAUAAUCAGACAUUUUCCAGUAAACAUUAAAUGUAAACAAUCAAAACCAGAUGAAAGAGCCCAUCUUUAAACAUUUAAUGUGUAAUUAAACAAUUCAGAGUGAACAAUAAAUGUGACAAGUAAAUGUUAUGAAAUAGAUCACACUUUAAGUAAAUAUUUGUUGUAUUUAACAUAAUUCAGGUAAGUAGUGAACAUGUAAUGAAAUAGAUCCUGUCCUAGAAUUUUAUGUAAUUGAACAUUACAGGUAACAAAUGUGAUGAUCAUCUGAGGUAAUACAUUUUAUAAACAUUUAAAAAAUACAUUUUUUAAAUAUAAAAUUAGU